rnacentral:rRNA from 2 species
UAUCACUAAGCGGAGGAAAAGAAACUAAAGGAUUCCCCCAGUAACGGCGAGUGAAGCGGGAUGAGCCCAGCACCGAAUCCCCCAGCAUUUCGCGGCGGGAACUGUGGUGUAUGGGACGCCAACGUCGUCCGCACCGGUGGCCGAAGUCCUCCUGAUCGGGGCCUCUCCCAGAGCGGGUGUCAGGCCUUUACAGGCUGCUGGUCGGUCGGCUGCGAGCGUCUCCGGAGUCGGGUUGUUUGGGAAUGCAGCCCUAAGCGGGUGGUAAACUCCAUCUAAGGCUAAAUACUGGCACGAGUCCGAUAGCGGACAAGUACCGUGAGGGAAAGUUGAAAA